AUUGAACGCUGGCGGCAUGCUUUACACAUGCAAGUCGAACGGUAACAGGGAGCUUGCUCCGCUGACGAGUGGCGAACGGGUGAGUAAUGCAUCGGAACGUGCCUAUUUGUGGGGGAUAACGUAGCGAAAGUUACGCUAAUACCGCAUACGCCCUGAGGGGGAAAGCGGGGGAUUCGUAAGAACCUCGCGCAAUUAGAGCGGCCGAUGUCGGAUUAGCUAGUUGGUGGGGUAAAGGCUCACCAAGGCGACGAUCCGUAGCGGGUCUGAGAGGAUGAUCCGCCACACUGGGACUGAGACACGGCCCAGACUCCUACGGGAGGCAGCAGUGGGGAAUUUUGGACAAUGGGCGAAAGCCUGAUCCAGCCAUGCCGCGUGAGUGAAGAAGGCC
rnacentral:rRNA from 1 species